UGAUAUUUAGCUUAAUGGUAAAGCAUUAUAUUUACACUAUAAAAAAUAAAAGUUCAAUUCUUUUAAUAUCAA
rnacentral:tRNA from 1 species